UACGUAGGGGGCAAGCGUUGUUCGGAAUUACUGGGCGUAAAGGGCUCGUAGGCGGCCAACUAAGUCGGAUGUGAAAUCCCCAGGCUUAACCUGGGAACUGCAUCCGAUACUGGAUGGCUUGAAUCCGGGAGAGGGAUGCAGAAUUCCAGGUGUAGCGGUGAAAUGCGUAGAUAUCUGGAGGAAUACCGGUGGCGAAGGCGGCAUCCUGGACCGGCAUUGACGCUGAGUGAGCGAAAGCCAGGGGAGCAAACGGG
rnacentral:rRNA from 1 species